rnacentral:rRNA from 1 species
UACGUAGGGCGCAAGCGUUGUCCGGAAUUAUUGGGCGUAAAGAGCUCGUAGGCGGCUUGUCACGUCGGGUGUGAAAGCCCGGGGCUUAACCCCUGGUCUGCAUUCGAUACGGGCAGGCUAGAGUGUGGUAGGGGAGAUCGGAAUUCCUGGUGUAGCGGUGAAAUGCGCAGAUAUCAGGAGGAACACCGGUGGCGAAGGCGGAUCUCUGGGCCAUUACUGACGCUGAGGAGCGAAAGCGUGGGGAGCGAACAGG